UUUGGUUGAAAGUCGAUUUUUACCCAAUAUUAGAAUGGCUACUCCAGCAUGUUUCUUGGGACCAUUUGCUUGGAAAAUUUGUUUUCCAGCCCUUUACUCUGAGGUAGUGUCUUUCUUUGACAGUGAAGUGUGUUUUAUUUAUGCAGGAAAAUGCUGGGUCCUUUUUAAGAAUCCAGUCUGUUAGUCUAUGUCUUUGUAUUGGCAAAUUGAGUCCAUUGAUGUUAACAGAUAUUAAGGAAUAGUGAUUGUUGCUUCCUGUUAUUUUUUAUGUCAUUUUUAUGUUUGUAUGGUUAUCUUCUUUUGGGUUUGUUGAAAGAUGAUUACCUUCUUCCCUUUUCUAGGGUGUAGUUUCCCUCCUUGUGUUAGCAUUUUCCAUUUAUUAUCCUUUGUAGGGCUGGGUUUGUAGAAAGAUAAUCAUGUCAAUUUGUUUUUGUCAUGGAAUAUCUUAGUUUCUCCAUCUAUGGUAAUUGAGAGUUUUGCUGAGUAUAGUAGUCUGGACUGGCAUUUGUGUCCUCUUAUGUAUGAGAUCUGCCCAGGAUCUCCUAGCUUUCAUUGUCUCUGGUGAGAAGUCUGGUGUAAUUCUGAUAGAUCUGCCUUUAUAUGUUACUUGAUCUUUUUCCUUUACUGCUUUUAAUAUUCUUUCUUCAUUUUGUGCAUUUGGUGUUUUGAUUAUUAUGUGACGGGAGGAAUUUCUUUUCUGGUCCAAUCUAUUUAUAGUUCUGCAUGCUUCUUUUAUGUUCAUGGGCAUCUCUUUCUUUAGGUUAGGGAAGUUUUCUUCUAUAAUUUUGUUGAAGAUAUUUACUGGCCCUUUAAGUUGGGAACCUUCACUCUCAUCUAUACUUAUUUUCCUUAGGUUUGGUCUUCUCAUUGUGUCCCGGAUUUCCUGGAUGUUUUGAGUUAGGAGCUUUUUUGCUUUUUGUGUUUUCUUUGACUGUUGUGUCAAUGUUUUCUAUGGUGUCCUCUGCACCUGAGAUUCUCUCUUCUAUCUCUUGUAUUCUGUUGGUGAUGCUUGCAUCUAUGACUCCUGAUCUCUUUCCUAGACUUUCUAACUCCAGGGUUGUCUCCCUUUGUGAUUUCUUUAUUGUUUCUAUUUCCAUUUUUAGAUCCUGGAUGGUUUUGUUCAGUUCCUUCACCUGUUUGGUUGUUUUUUCCUAUAAUUCUUUAAGGGACUUUUGUGUUUCAUCUCUAAGGUCUUCUACUUGUUUACCUGUGUCUCCUGUAUUUCUUUAAGGGUGUUAUUUAUGCCCUUCUUAAAGUCCUCUAUCAUCAUCAUGAGAUGUGAUUUUUAAAUCAGAGUCUUGCUUUUGUGGAGUGUUAGGGUAUCCAGGGCUCAUUAUGGUAGGAGAACUGGGUUCUGAUGAUGCCAAGUGAUCUUGGUUUCUGUUGUUCAUGUUCUUGCCCUUGCCUCUCGCCAUCUGGUUAUCUCUGGUGUUAGCUGGUCUUGCUGUCUCUGACUGUGGCUUGUCUCUCCUGCAAGCCUGUGUGUCAGUACUCCUGGGAGACCAGCUCUCUCAGGUAGGAAUUUAGGUAUGGAGAGCUAUGGUAUAGGGGUCAGCUCUAGGGUGCAGACAGAAUCCAGAAGGAUCCUGUCUCCAGCUGACCCUUGGUUCCUGUGUCUUGAUGGCUCUGAGAAGGUCCCUCUUGGACAAGAAAUUUGAAGAGAUGUGGUGGUCUUACCUGUGCUCACAGGCAGCCUGCUCCUUGGUUCCUGUGUCCUGAGGGUUCUGGGUGGGUUCCUCUGAGCAGCAGUGGUGAUCUUACCUGUACUUAUAAGCUUGUCUGCACUCCUGGGAUACUAGCUCUUUCCUGACGGUAUUUGUGUUUGUAGGUCUGUGGCACAGGAUCAGCUCCAGGCGCAGACAGAAACAGGAAGAGAUCUUUCUUAAUUCUGGAUUUCUAUUUAUGUUUUGUAAUAAAUAAAUAAAUAAAUAAAUAAAUAAAUAAAUAAAUAAUUUCAGGCCUUUUUCUAAGUUCUAUAUUCACUGAGGCAUUUAAAUUUUUUAAGCUUUUUUUUUUCCUUCCUUCCUUCCUUCCUUCCUUCAUUCCUUCCUUCCUUCUUCUCCUUUCAACACUGGGUUUCUCAGUGUAGUGCUUACUGUUCUGGAACUCUGUAGACUACAGUGGCCUCGAAUUCACAAAAGUCUGACUUCUAUCUUCUGAGUUCUGGGAUUAAAGGUGUGCACACCACCACUAAAAAGUUGUGAGAGGCCAAACCUACUCUAUCUUGGAACCAGCCUCC
rnacentral:lncRNA from 1 species